rnacentral:rRNA from 1 species
AUUGAACGCUGGCGGCAUGCUUUACACAUGCAAGUCGAACGGCAGCGGGGAGGAGCUUGCUUCUCUGCCGGCGAGUGGCGAACGGGUGAGUAAUACAUCGGAACGUGUCGAGAAGAGGGGGAUACCCACCCGAAAGGGUGGCUAAUACCGCAUAAAUUCUGAGGAAGAAAGCUGGGGACCUAGGAAUAGGCCUAGCGCUUUUUGAGCGGCCGAUGUCGGAUUAGCUAGUUGGUGAGGUAAAGGCUCACCAAGGCGAAGAUCUGUAGCGGGUCUGAGAGGAUGAUCCGCCACACUGGGACUGAGACACGGCCCAGACUCCUACGGGAGGCAGCAGUGGGGAAUUUUGGACAAUGGGGGCAACCCUGAUCCAGCCAUGCCGCGUGUAUGAAGAAGGCCUUAGGGUUGUAAAGUACUUUUGUUAGGGAAGAAAAGUCAGCUGUGAAUAAUGGCUGGUACUGACGGUACCUAAAGAAUAAGCACCGGCUAACUACGUG